rnacentral:rRNA from 1 species
GGGUUGUGAGGUUAAGCGACUAAGCGUACACGGUGGAUGCCCUGGCAGUCAGAGGCGAUGAAGGGCGUGCUAAUCUGCGAUAAGCGCCGGUAAGGUGAUAUGAACCGUUAUAACCGGCGAUACCCGAAUGGGGAAACCCAGUGUGAUUCGUCACACUAUCAUUAACUGAAUCCAUAGGUUAAUGAGGCGAACCGGGGGAACUGAAACAUCUAAGUACCCCGAGGAAAAGAAAUCAACCGAGAUUCCCCCAGUAGCGGCGAGCGAACGGGGAGGAGCCCAGAGCCUGAAUCAGCAUGUGUGUUAGUGGAAGCGUCUGGAAAGGCGCGCGAUACAGGGUGACAGCCCCGUACACAAAAGCGCAUGUGCUGUGAGCUCGAUGAGUAGGGCGGGACACGUGGUAUCCUGUCUGAAUAUGGGGGGGACCGAUUCCUCCCAAGGCUAAAAUACUCCUGACUGACCGAUAGUGAACCAGUACCGUGAAGGGAAAGGCGAAAAAGAACCCCGGCGACGGGGAGUUGAAAAAGAAACCUGGAAACCGUGUACGUACAAGCCAGUGGGGAGCCACUAGGUUUUACCUGUGUGACUGCGUACCUUUUGUUAUAAUUGGGUCAGCCGACUUAUAUUCUGUAGCAAGGUUAAACCGAAUACGGGGAGCCGGAGGGAAAACCGAGUCUUUAACCGGGUCGUUAAGUUGCAGGGUAUAAGACCCGAAACCCGGUGAUCGUAGCCAUGGGCAGGUUGGAAGGUUGGGUAACACUAAACGUGGAGGACCCGAACCGACUAAUGUUAGAAAAAUUUAGUCGGAUGACCUGUGGCUUGGGGGUGAAAAGGCCAAAUCAAACCCGGGAGAUAGCUGGUUCUCCCCGAAAGCUAUUUAGGUAGCGCCUACGUGAAUUCAGUCUCCGGGGGUUAGGAGCUACUGUUUCGGCUUAGGGGGCCCAUCCCGGGCUUACCAACCCCGAUGCAAAACUGCGAAUACCGGAGAAAUGUUAUCACGGGGAGACACGACGGCGGGUGCUAACGUCCGUACGUAGAAGACGGGAAACAAACCCGAGACCGCCAGCUAAGGUCCCAAAGUCAUGGUUAAGUGGGAAACGAUGUCGGGAAGGCCCCAGACAGCCAGGAUGUUGGCUUAGAAGCAGCCAUCAUUUAAAGGAAAGACGUAAAUAGCUCAACUGGUCGAGUCGGCCUGACGCGGAAAGAUGUAAACGGGGGCUAAAACCGAUGCACCGAAGCUGCGGCAGCGAACGUAUCACGUUUAAAGCGAUUCAGCGGGUUUACGAGUUGACGGAGCGAAGCGACGUCAAAGCGUAGUACAAAGUCGAGUACGGUUUUAAGGAGUACGGUUCGUUGGGUAGGGGGAGCGGUUCUGUAAGCCUGCGAAGGUGGCCUGUGGAGGGGUUGCUGGAGGUAUCAGAAGUGCGAAUGCUGACAUAAGUAACGAUAAAAGCGGUGUAGAAAAGACCCGCUCGCCGGAAGACCAAGGGUUACCUGUCCAACGGUUAAGUCGGGGCAAGGGUGAGUCCGACCCCUAAGGCGAGGACCGAAAGGCGUAGUCGAGUAGGGAAACGGGUUAAUAUUUCCCGUACUUGGUGUUACUGCCGAAGGAGGGGUACGGGAGAAGGCUAUGGUUGGCCGGGCGUACGGUUGUCCCGGUUUUAAAGCGUGUAGGUGUGUGUUCCAGGGUAAAUCCGGGUUCGACGUUUAACACUGGAGGCGUGAUGACGAGGCACGUACGGUGCUGAAGUAACAAAUAGCCCUGCUUCCAGGAAAAAGACCUCUAAAGCAUCAGGUAACAUCAAAAUCGUACCCCCAAACCCGACACAGGUGGUCAGGUAGAGAAUACCAAGGCGGCUUGAAGAGAAACUCGGGUGAAGGAACUAGGCAAAAAUAGGUGCCGUAACUUCGGGAGGAAGGCACGCAGUGGACACGUAGGUUGAAGUGAUUUACGUCACGGAGCUGAAGUCAGUCGAAGAUACCAGCUGGCUAGCAACUGGUUUUAUUAAAAAACACAGCACUGUGCCAAACACGAAAAGUGGACGUAUACGGUGUGAACGCCUGCCCGGUGACCGGAAGGUUAAAUUGAUUGGGGUCGAGCGCAAGCGAAGCUACCUGAUCGAAAGCCCCGGUUAAACGGCGGCCGUAACUAUAACGGGUCCUAAGGUAGCGAAAAUUCCCUUGUCGGGGUAAGUUCCGACCUGCACGAAUGGCGGUAAUGAUGGCCAGGCUGUCUCCAACCCGAGACUCAGUGAAAAUUGAAACUCGCUGUGAAAGAUUGCAGUGUACCCCGCGGCAAAGACGGAAAAGACCCCCGUGGAACCGUUUUACUAUAGCUUUGACACUGAACAAUUGAGCCUUUGAUGUGUAGGAUAGGGUGGGAAGGCCUUUGAAGUGUGGACGCCCAGUCUGCAUGGAGCCGACCUUAGAAAUACCUACCCGUUUAAUGUUUUGAUGUUCUAACGUCGGACCCGUUACCCGGGUUGCCGGACGAGUGUCCUGGUCGGGUAGGUUUGACUGGGGGCGGUCGUCCCUCCUAAAGAGUAAACGGAGGAGCGACGAAGGUGUUGGCUAAGUCCUGGUCGGGACGAUCAGGAGGUUUAGUGGCAAUGGUCAAUAAGCCAAGCUUGACUGCGAGCGUGUACGGGCGCGAGGCAGGUGACGAAAGCAGGUCAGUAGUGAUACCCGGUGGUUCUGAAAUGGAAGGGCCCAUCGGCUCAACGGAUUAAAACGGUAACUACCGGGGAUAACAGGACUGAUACCGCCCAAGAGUUCCAUAGUCGACGGUCGGUAGUUUGGCACCUCGAUGUCGGCUCAUCACAUCCUGGGGCUGAAGCAGGUCCCAAGGGUAUGGCUGUUCGCCAUUUAAAGUGGUACGCGAGCUGGGUUUAGAACGUCGUGAGACAGUUCGGUCCCUAUCUGCCGUGGGCGCUGGAGAACUGAGGGGGGCUGCUCCUAGUACGAGAGGACCGGAGUGGACGCAUCACUGGUGUUCGGGUUGUCAUGCCAAUGGCACUGCCCGGUAGCUAAAUGCGGAAGAGAUAAGUGCUGAAAGCAUCUAAGCACGAAACUUGCCCCGAGAUGAGUUCUCCCUGAGACUUAGAGUCUCCUGAAGGAACGUUGAAGACGACGACGUUGAUAGGCCGGGUGUGUAAGCGCAGCGAUGCGUUGAGCUAACCGGUACUAAUGAACCGUGAGGCUUAACCUUACAACGCCGAAG